rnacentral:rRNA from 1 species
UCAAGCUACAUAGGGCGCACGGUGGAUGCCUUGGCGCUAAGGGCCGAUGAAGGACGCUGUCGGCGGCGAAAGGGCCGGGGAGGUGCCGAGCAACCUUCGAUCCGGUCGUGUCCGAAUGGGGGAACCCCCCGCGGGUCAUACCGCGGGACCCACCGCUGAAUCCAUAGGCGGUGUGGAGGGCACCCUGGGAACUGAAACAUCUCAGUACCAGGUGGAAGAGAAAUCAAACGAGAUUCCCCUAGUAGUGGCGAGCGAACGGGGAAGAGCCCAAACCGCGCGGGCGUGAUAGCCCGCGGGCGUUGUCCGCGCGGGGUUGUAGGACGUCACUGGGCCGGGCUGCGGACCGGCCGGGAAGUGAGCAAUCCUCGGUGUAGCCGAACUGCCCUGGAACGGCAGGCGAUACAGGGUGACAGCCCCGUAGGCAAAACAGCGAGGACUUCCUGGGUGGCGUUCCUGAGUACUACGGGACACGAGGAAUCCCGUGGGAAACUGGGAGGACCACCUUCCAAGGCUAAAUACCCUUGGCGACCGAUAGUGCACGAGUACCGUGAGGGAAAGGUGAAAAGAACCCCGGGAGGGGAGUGAAAUAGAACCUGAAACCGUGUGCCCACAACCAGU